rnacentral:rRNA from 1 species
AGUGAACGCUGGCGGUAGGCCUAACACAUGCAAGUCGAACGGCAGCACAGUAAGAGCUUGCUCUUACGGGUGGCGAGUGGCGGAUGGGUGAGGAAUACAUCGGAAUCUACUUUUUCGUGGGGGAUAACGUAGGGAAACAUACGCUAAUACCGCAUACGAUCUACGGGUGAAAGCAGGGGAUCUUCGGACCUUGCUCGAUUGAAUGAGCCGAUGUCGGAUUAGCUAGUUGGCGGGGGAAAGGCCCACCAAGGCGACGAUCCGUAGCUGGUCUGAGAGGAUGAUCAGCCACACUGGAACUGAGACACGGUCCAGACUCCUACGGGAGGCAGCAGUGGGGAAUAUUGGACAAUGGGCGCAAGCCUGAUCCAGCCAUACCGCGUGGGUGAAGAAGGCCUUCGGGUUGUAAAGCCCUUUUGUUGGGAAAGAAAAGCAGCAGGUUAAUAACCCGCUGUUCUGACGGUACCCAAAGAAUAAGCACCGGCUAACUUCGUG